UACAGAGGUCCCGAGCGUUGUUCGGAUUUACUGGGCGUAAAGGGCGCGUAGGUGGCGGGACAAGCGUGCGGUGAAAGCUUGGGGCUCAACCCCGAGUCGGCCGUGCGAACUGUCUUGCUUGAGCACUGUAGAGGCAGGCGGAAUUCCGGGUGUAGCGGUGGAAUGCGUAGAGAUCCGGAAGAACACCGGUGGCGAAGGCGGCCUGCUGGGCAGUAGCUGACACUGAGGCGCGACAGCGUGGGGAGCAAACAGG
rnacentral:rRNA from 1 species